UUGGACCUGGUGCCAGACCUUUCCGCUGUUAGCAAUAAUAUUUUUUCAAUAUUUGGACAGAUCUUUUAAAGCAAAAAACCUGUUUAUAUUUUCAAGAUGUGGUACUUUGUUUCAGGAUAUAAAUUCUCAGGCAAGCCCCGGACUUGCAGACCCAAAGCAACCGAAUCUCCUGUAACAAAACUGCCAAGUGCAAGGCCACCAGAGUGGUCUCUGGUCCUCUUCUUUCCCUGUGAUACCUCCGUGGCGUAAGAGAAGCCAUGGUGGUGUGUAGUCAACUGGAGUGAAUGUGUGCAUUCUCCAGGUCUUGUUUUUGUGAGACUUUGUCCUGCUGUUGUUCCCACUCUGAGCUGAGCAGAAACCACGCAUGUCUGAAUAACAGGGCCCUUUCUGCCUGUUGUAAUCCCGAAUUGUUACAGUCUAGGGGCCAGCCAUGCUGUCACCAUCACAAAUUGAUUUAACCAUCAAUUGCAGUGGUCAUUAAAGCUGCUAGAAGUCCCAGCCAAGCUGAUGAAUUGCAGCUGAAUGUGAAAUGAGCCUCCAAGCCCCUUUCCCACCAUCUCAUAUCAAAGCCUAUUGUGUCCCUCCAAAGUAAAGGGUCGGAGGUUCAGCCUGGAGUUCAACAAUGGGCUCAGUCAGAAGAUAGAGCUCCCUUCGCCCUGGUAUUCCCAAUUACAGUUUGCUUUCCAUACCUUAUUGUGCAGUAUUUGCAUGCAACUAAUACGUGGAAUUAUUGACAUACCCCAGUGUCAAUGGAGCUUUUGAAAGGUUUAUCCCCCAAAUAUAUGGAAUCCCAAGCAUCUGGUGGCUCCCCAGUAAUGACAAUGAAACGAUUCCUGGGUUUUCCUCCUCCGGCAGUGUAGUCGACUGUUCUGAGCUGAAUGGCUAUCUUUACUCAGCAGAGAUUAGCUGCUUGCAGGCCUCACACAAAAAAAACCCCUGGGUCUGCUUCUGGAUGUCCCUUUCCUUUAGAUGUAUUGU